GACGAACGCUGGCGGCGUGCCUAAUACAUGCAAGUAGAACGCUGAAGGAGGAGCUUGCUUCUCUGGAUGAGUUGCGAACGGGUGAGUAACGCGUAGGUAACCUGCCUGGUAGCGGGGGAUAACUAUUGGAAACGAUAGCUAAUACCGCAUAAGAGUAGAUGUUGCAUGACAUUUGCUUAAAAGGUGCAAUUGCAUCACUACCAGAUGGACCUGCGUUGUUUUAGCUAGUUGGUGGGGUAACGGCUUACCAAGGCGACGAUACAUAGCCGACCUGAGAGGGUGAUCGGCCACACUGGGACUGAGACACGGCCCAGACUCCUACGGGAGGCAGCAGUAGGGAAUCUUCGGCAAUGGACGGAAGUCUGACCGAGCAACGCCGCGUGAGUGAAGAAGGUUUUCGGAUCGUAAAGCUCUGUUGUAAGAGAAGAACGAGUGUGAGAGUGGAAAGUUCACACUGUGACGGUAUCUUACCAGAAAGGGACGGCUAACUACGUG
rnacentral:rRNA from 1 species